rnacentral:lncRNA from 1 species
UAAAAAAGAGCAAGUGGGUGAAGAGAGAGAGUACAUGGCUGCAACCUUUCCUCAUGACAUAUCUUGUCUCUUGGAGGAAGCCUUUCUUAUCCUCUUGUGUCAGAUAGGUGCAUUCAAUGCUAGCUGCAGGAGCGCUACCUUCGUGGCGAAGGCAGCCUGCUUGCUCCCUCGGGACGCUUUUGAGUGGCAUCAUCCCCCGAGGCCUCCGGGCUUCUGGGACCCGGGAGUUAGGUGG